ACAUGGGUAGGCUGUUUAUACCGUACUUUGUUAAUUGAUGUUUAUGAUGUUAUAGGUUUUGGUUGUAAUUGGUUUAUGUUUGUGUGUGUGUAGAAAAAGUCCUUUCUGUAGUUUAAAGGAAGAAUCUGCGAAGAGAAUCAUCUCCCUAUUCCUAUGCUUGGUUGACCCCAGGAGCAAGUUUCGUUAUGUUGGAACAGCAAAUUGUCUUCCAUUUUGAUGCCGGUUCACCUUUUGCCACCCUCUCAAGUCACCGCCACGUAAGACCGGGAAAGAUCUCAGCUAGGCAAACGUGAUCGUCUUGUGAAAUUCAUCAAGACUGGUACCAGUAUCCAAGGGCAGUUGGAUGGCAUUCGAGAGAGUCUCCAGCUGUAUCUACUUGUUGUUGGGCUGAUGAGAAGUAGGGUCCAGUCUUGUUUUAUUGUAAUUGUCCAAUAUGCUCUACUCUGUAAGACCUGUCCAUUGUGUAUAGCUUUCUGCAAAACAAUGUCUAUGAUAUAGAUGCAGAAACCACCAAAUGAUCAUGAUCACAAGUGUAAUAUUGUAAAUGUAAGUGUAUUAUUUAAAUAGGAGAUUGAAAAAAUAAAAUUGUGAGACAUGAGUA